rnacentral:rRNA from 1 species
CCUACGGGGGGCAGCAGUGAGGAAUAUUGGUCAAUGGACGAGAGUCUGAACCAGCCAAGUAGCGUGAAGGAUGACUGCCCUAUGGGUUGUAAACUUCUUUUAUAUGGGAAUAAAACGUUCCACGUGUGGGAUUUUGUAUGUACCAUAUGAAUAAGGAUCGGCUAACUCCGUGCCAGCAGCCGCGAUAAUACGGAGGAUCCGAGCGUUAUCCGGAUUUAUUGGGUUUAAAGGGAGCGUAGGUGGAUUGUUAAGUCAGUUGUGAAAGUUUGCGGCUCAACCGUAAAAUUGCAGUUGAAACUGGCAGUCUUGAGUACAGUAGAGGUGGGCGGAAUUCGUGGUGUAGCGGUGAAAUGCUUAGAUAUCACGAAGAACUCCGAUUGCGAAGGCAGUUCACUGGACUGCAACUGACACUGAGGCUCGAAAGUGUGGGUAUCAAACAGGAUUAGAUACCCGAGUAGUC